CUGCCGGCCCUUCCCUAAUACUAUGUGCCUUUUCAUUCAAAAAAAAAUGUGCCUUCAGCGGCUCAGCCACUGCACCGUUGUUAAAUGCCAUUUCUUGUCUUUUGUUUAGUUUAAUUGGGCUGGGUCUAUUUAUUAUCAAGGAAACCCUGUUCUGGGUUCAACAUACAAAUCAAGGCCAUCGGGACUAGUUUGUCUCUAUGUGCUUCGGAGUAUUUUUAUUAUCAGCUACUUCGAACUCCUCCAUAACAGUUGUCCAACUGUUCACCCAUCAAAAUCCGCUCGAAAUUUAACUCUGAAGUUCAUAUAUUCUAAAUCAAACACGAUCUGGCUUCACCCUCGACUUUUUGGCCGAGUCCUUGCACGGGUACUUCUUGAUUCCGGCGACGGGGAGACGACUGAUUGCGAGGGAUAUGGAUUUGUUGCCAGAAUCGGGUAGGAUCUCGGCGGGGUUGGUGAUGGUUUAGGCGGAGGAGAGAUGUGAGAUUUGAUCUGUGCGAAUUGCGAAACUCUUGUUGAAGUCUUUGAACUAGAUUUUCAUGGUGAUCAAUUGGAGGAGACGAGUUUGCCAUCGAUGGAUACCUGCCCCUCCAUCUUGUUUCACAAACUCACACUACGUUAACUACAAACCCACACUAACAGAAAAUGGACGGCCAAAUUUGCUCCAGAUCUACUCAGCCAUAGAUCAACGGCAAAGAGACCCAGUUGGAUGACCACCCAAGGUGGAUAGCAGAAGUUUCAAUACUACAAACUACAAACUAAACAUGCUUAUACACAUGGACAAGUUUUUUGCCACCCCACCAGAUAAGUCGGUCGGCAGAGUGUGGACAUAGCUAGCCAACUACGAGUCUUUGAGUACAUGUUUGGCUACUUAAAGCAAGGAGAGACUCGACCAAGGCUGCUCGGGCUAUUUUUGGGCAGAGUAGAUUGGUCAUGAACAAAUGAGGUUCUGCAAAAGCAACCAGUUGCUCCUGACUAGAGAACCAAGGUUUCUGAAGGUAUUAUUAGAUCAACAUCACACUUUUUUCUUAUGUUCUACAUUAGGGACAGAACCUGUAAUCAAGUAGCUUAUCAUCUGACUUGGUGUAUUGUCUGAAUAAGGUUUUAUAAAAAAUCACAACAAAUAUCACUCAUGAAACCAGAGAAACCACAAAAUGUUUGUUUUCGAACUUUCUGCGUUUAUUCUUACAAUAUAUAUCGAAGCAUACAACAAUUAAGGAUUAGGGAACAGUUGGACCAGAAAAACCUAUAGCUAAUAUAAGUGCUUGCUGCAUGUUUAACAUUGGCACCAAGGCAAAUGUUUUUAAGCAUAGAGCUCCAAAUUGGAUAACCUUGGUGUUGGUACAGCAAUAAGUGGAGUGCUUUUCUUUGUCACAAUCCCAAAUUUGUCUGAAAGGUCAAGCUUUUCGUCAUUAGGCAAU